AUUGAACGCUGGCGGCAGGCUUAACACAUGCAAGUCGAGCGGGGGAAGGUAGCUUGCUACCGGACCUAGCGGAGGACGGGUGAGUAAUGCUUAGGAAUCUGCCUAUUAGUGGGGGACAACAUCUCGAAAGGGAUGCUAAUACCGUAUACGUCCUAAGGGAGAAAGCAGGGGAUCUUCGGAUCUUGCUCUAAUAGAUGAGCCUAAGUCAGAUUAGCUAGUUGGUGGGGUAAAGGCCUACCAAGGCGACGACCUGUAGCGGGUCUGAGAGGAUGAUCCGCCACACUGGGACUGAGACACGGCCCAGACUCCUACGGGAGGCAGCAGUGGGGAAUAUUGGGCAAUGGGGGGAACCCUGAUCCAGCCAUGCCGCGUGUGUGAAGAAGGCCUUAUGGUUGUAAAGCACUGUAAGCGAGGAGGAGGCUACUUUGGUUAAUACGUAGAGAUAGUGGACGUUACUCGCAGAAUAAGCACCGGCUAACUCUGUACCAGCCGCCGCGGUAA
rnacentral:rRNA from 1 species